CCAAUAGCGUAUAUUAAAGUUGCUGCAGUUAAAAAGCUCGUAGUUGAAUUUCGGGGUCAAUAUGUUGGUCGUGCCUUGGUACGUACUAGCUUAUUGAUUUCUCCUUUCUGACGAACCAUGAUGUCAUUAAUUUGGUGUCAUGGGGAAUCAGGACUGUUACUUUGAAAAAAUUAGAGUGUUUAAAGCAGGCUCACGCUUGAAUACAUUAGCAUGGAAUAAUGAAAUAGGACGUUUGAUUCUAUUUUGUUGGUUUCUAGGAUCGACGUAAUGAUUAAUAG
rnacentral:rRNA from 1 species